rnacentral:tRNA from 1 species
CAGAGUGUAGCUUAAUGGUAGAGCAUUAGCUUUGGGAGCUAAAGGUCGCUGGAUCAGUACCAGCCACUCUGA